rnacentral:rRNA from 1 species
CACGGUUUCUGUGUCGUAGCUAACGCAUUAAGCGCCCCGCCUGGGGAGUACGGCCGCAAGGCUAAAACUCAAAGGAAUUGACGGGGGCCCGCACAAGCGGCGGAGCAUGCGGAUUAAUUCGAUGCAACGCGAAGAACCUUACCAAGGCUUGACAUAUACCGGAAACGGCCAGAGAUGGUCGCCCCCUUGUGGUCGGUAUACAGGUGGUGCAUGGUUGUCGUCAGCUCGUGUCGUGAGAUGUUGGGUUAAGUCCCGCAACGAGCGCAACCCUCGUUCUAUGUUGCCAGCGGUUCGGCCGGGGACUCAUAGGAGACUGCCGGGGUCAACUCGGAGGAAGGUGGGGAUGACGUCAAAUCAUCAUGCCCCUUAUGUCUUGGGCUUCACGCAUGCUACAAUGGCCGGUACAAAGGGCUGCGAUACCGUAAGGUGGAGCGAAUCCCAAAAAGCCGGUCUCAGUUCGGAUUGAGGUCUGCAACUCGACCUCAUGAAGUCGGAGUCGCUAGUAAUCGCAGAUCAGCAACGCUGCGGUGAAUACGUUCCCGGGCCUUGUACACACCGCCCGUCAAGUCAUGAAAGUCGGUAACACCCGAAGCCGGUGGCCUAACCCUUGUGGAAGGAGCCGUCGAAGGUGGGAUCGGUGAUU